GUUAUAUUUCAUUCCUCUGGCUUUUGGUCACAUUUAUAGCACCAUUUAUAACCCUUUCUGUCUUGGACUGUCUUUUAGACAACUCACAAUCUAUGAAUGGAUAGCAAGACGGCUUUGCAACCAAAGUGGCAAAGUGUAUGAAGAAUCACUCAAUAAUAAAUUCCACAAGUUUCUACUGCUUUAACCAGGUUCCUUGGCACAGGGACUAAAGAGGCUUCCCUUCCCAUAAUUGCCAGGGGAGGAAAGAGCCUAGAGCUCCACUGAUUGUGCCCCAUGGGAGUCUUCUUGCAGCACUUCUCAGGGCAGUUGAGAGAGUCGACUGUUACCUGGAGUAAUGAAAGACCUUAAAGAUGGGAAAUGGAGAACUUGAAGGACCACGAAUAAAAUCCGUUCCUGUUAGGAAACCAGCCUCAUCAGGGUCUAAUCAGUGAGGAACUGGCUGUGCUUCCAGGGCUUGAAAUAUUUAAAUCUUCGUGACUGACAACAUGCAAGUUGUGCAAGUUUGUAUUUCAGGCUGCUGUCAAGGAGGAAUGGUCUGGUUUUGUGAGAGGAAUGAGCUGAGAAAGUGGAGGAAGAGGGGAGGCAGCAAUGGAGUUAUUAUUGUACUUUGCACAGCUUUCAUCUCCUUUCUUUGAAAGUUGUACUUGAGGCACCGGUGAGAGCGUCCCGCUGCCAGCCUUGAUACAGCCCUGCUCCUCAAAGAUGUCUGUCAGUCUUCCCACUCCCUUGCAGCCCUAAUGGGGAGGAAAAUCCAACUCUGUACCAAGAAAGGGCCACAGUAUGACCGCUAGAGAAAGGUCACUGAAAAUGUAAAGACAGGGCCAAAUGCCAGCAUCACUUACCUCUCAUUAAAUACUUAAAUGUAGAUGUGCUCAGCUCUUAUCUCUUGCAGACACCUAAGAUACUCUGGCUCCUUUCCCUUCUCAGAGUCAGCC